rnacentral:rRNA from 1 species
GGCCCAGAACUGUAAUCUCGGACAAUUUAGUGCAUUAUUGCCAUUACAAGGUUUAAUCCUUUUUUGUAGUAAUAAUGUCUUGUGCAUAUAGGGGGGUCGUGAAGACUCUAUCUGCGAGUAUUUGCUCUCGGAAGGGCAAUGAUGAAUAUUGAACUAUCAGACAUUUAACGAUAAGGUUGUAUGUCGAAAGGGAAACAGCCCAGAACAAGUGUUUAAGGUUCCAAAGUUUUUGUUAAGUGAAAGUAAGGAAGUAUUUAAACUAUACAAUCAGGAAAUAGGCUUAGAAGCGGCCAUUUUUUAAAGACCUCGUAACAGAGCACUGGUUCAACAUGUUAAUUAUUUAGUUAAUUAACAUAUUUAGUUAAAAGCGCCGAAAAUUUAACGGAUCUAAAUAAAACACCGGAUACCUUGUCCAUAAUAUGUAAUUAUAAAGCUGAUUAAACUUUUUUAAAGUAGAUUAAAGCGUAUAACUAUAAAAUUUAAAGUAUAUAGGCAUAAAUAUAAUUUAUAAUAAGUAUGCAAGUAUGCCAACUAUAGAUUUUUUAAAUUAUGGGGUAGCGGAACGUUGGGUAAUAUUAAGAAUUAUAUCCCAAGUGAGAAUGCUGACACAAGUAACGAAAAGGAAUAUUUCCCGCCUUAAGCUUAUGGUAUUUAAUUAAACGGCCUCUAAAUUUAACCUAAAGGAUAAAAUGAUGAGAAUGUAUAUCUAACAUAAAGUAGGUGCUUUUUAUAGCAAAUGUUUAAUGUAAUAUAGAAUUAUGUUAUUAAUAANUAAGGCCCUAUUCUACUAUAGUUUCUUUUUAAUAAGAAAUUCUUAAAUAGGAUAGACUAUUGAAAAGGAGCUAUGAAGAUUAUUAGUUUUUAAUUUUAAAUAUAAAAAGCAUAUGAGUAUAAUGUUCUGGAAAAGNUGUAUACUUUUACGAAACCGGACCUAAAUACUUC